GGAUGUAGCGUAGUUUGGUAGCGCAUCUGCUUUGGGAGCAGAGGGUCACAGGUUCAAAUCCUGUCAUCC
rnacentral:tRNA from 1 species